UCAAGCAGAAGCUGUGACAGUGGCUGUGGUUACCAUUGCAGUUUCUCCAUUAUUCAGACUGUUACCCAAGUGGUAACCAUGGCAACCACCCUGGGAGCAGUCAUUGAAGAUGAUGUUUAUCCCACCCAGUGGGCAGGGCUGCCACACUAGGGCGCCCCUCGAGGAGAAAUCUCCCGGCCCAUGGCCGCCUUGCCAGUGUGAGUCUCCUAUGCUUCUGCAGGCUUCCUGGGGGCACAUGCCAGUUAUAACCUGGACAUCAGGCUAGUUACCUAAUGCUCUGAGCCAUGGACUCCUCCUCUGGAAAUCCUCAUCAACACCCUCCUCCUCAUCAGCAUCAUGAAGAAGGGACGCUGGAACUCCAAGAACAAGACAGACAGAUCUGGCUAUGGGCCCUGUAACUGACACCAGCUACUACCCUCUCGGGCCUAGCUUCCUCACCUGGCAAAGCGUGACUACCAGAAAAACUGCAAUGAUGUCUGUGGCUUGCAUUGCAGUGCCGUUGGAUGGUGCUGGCUCAUCAGGGCAGUAUGAAAAUUAAGAAUCAGUCUAGCUCAUCCUUGUAGAAAGGAAAAGAACACAUCAAAGCUUAGACAACUGGGUGUGACUCUCAGACUCCUGUGAAUAAAGUCAGCUCUAUUUAUUGGACCCAGAAGAAAAUUUUGCAUUGUGUGCCCAGCAGAGACUUCAGGACCUUCUUUUCUGCAAGUGAAGUCGCAGCACAAACUCCUCCUGUGGUAACUUCUGUGACAUUUCGUGGCUUCUUCGGGAAACUAGAAGUCUCGGCCCCCAGACUCUGUGAUGCCUGAGGACAGGAAGAUGAGGCACCCAGUUGGGGAUUAUUAUUACAUCUCUGUUGCUCAGACUUAGUAAAAACCAUGGAUUGCAAUCUUGAAUGCAGGUCCGCUCAAAGAACCAGGAGCGGUAGCGAAAGAAAUGUGAUUCCAUGGGUGCCACCGUGACCUUCCUAGUCAGGAGUGGCUGCUGAGAUGGGGCCCUGCAGUCUAGCAAGCUCUCUGGAUGAUCCCGAUGCAUUCUUAAGCAUUAAAGUCACUGCUUUUGUGUACCUGGGAGUCUCCACUCAAGCUCUAUUAAAAUCCGAGAUUCCCACAUUCACUCCCAAAGAACCUGAUGCCGGAGACCUGCUGUAGGUCCCAGGAAUUAUGUGAUUAGCCAACACUGGGGCUUAAAUUGGGGAAACCCCAUAGAAAUGUCCAUCUACAGAAGCCUGAGCGCCAUCGGGUCAUACACCAUUUCCAUGCAUCUGCAAGGACUCUGUCCUUUCUUCCAGGCUCACACCCCCACUCGCAAGUUUCCAUAGUCACAAGCACUCACCACUGCCUGGCCUGUCCCAGAAAUGAGCUGAACCAAUCCAGAAGCAGUGAAGUGUAGAAGCAGCCCACAGCAGCGAGGGUCUGUUGUGGCUUUGGGGACCUGUGUUUGUCUAAGGAGCUCUCCCGAAGCUUCCACGGGAAUGAAAACAUCCAAUUACUCCCAGACAUUGCUGGGCUGGGCACAUUUAUUUGCAAUAACACUCCUGGCCACACACUUCCAGAUGAACAGCCCCAAAGAGAAUGGUUUGUUUCCUCUCAUCUUCCUCCACGAUGCAUUUUCACGAUCGCAGAGGGUCAUGGUUGCCAUGUGUUUGCCUCUCGUCUGUAAGUGCUUUUCCACGGCCGGCUCUUGGCAGCUCCCAUAUUUACCGAGGAGCGCACGCCGGCGCGCUGGCCCCCAUCCAGGCUC